rnacentral:rRNA from 1 species
GAAGUUGUUGCUGGCCCUCAGAUGGGGGCAUGUGCACACUCUGUUUACACAUCCACUCACACCUGUGCACUCCUCUGUAGUACUGUGGUCUGGGGGUUCUGUCCUCCUACUGUGGUUCUGCGUAUUUAUACACACACACUGUAAUAAAGUCUCAUGGAAUGUAUGCCGCGUUUAACGCAAUGAAAUACAACUUUCAGCAACGGAUCUCUUGGCUCUCGCAUCGAUGAAGAACGCAGCGAAAUGCGAUAAGUAAUGUGAAUUGCAGAAUUCAGUGAAUCAUCGAAUCUUUGAACGCACCUUGCGCCCUUUGGCUAUUCCGAAGGGCAUGCCUGUUUGAGUAUCAUGAACACCUCAACUCUCAUGGCUUGCCAUGAUGAGCUUGGACUUGGGGGUUUUGCUGGCCUACAGUCAGCUCCCCUCAAAUGCAUCAGCUUUCCAGUUUUUGGUGGCACCACAAGUGUGAUAAACAUCUACACGUGUGGUUCCCCACCAUGUAACCUUCAGUGAUGGAGGUUUGCUGGAGCUCACAAAUGUCUUUCCUCAGUGAAGACAGUUCUUUGAUUGUUUGAUCUCAAAUCAGGUAGGACUACCCGCUGAACUUAAGCAUAUCAAUAAGCGGANGAAAAGAAACUAACAAGGAUUCCCCUAGUAACUGCGAGUGAAGCGGGAAGAGCUCAAAUUUAAAAUCUGACGUGCCUCUGGUCGUCCGAGUUGUAGUCUGGARAAGUGUUUUCC